GUCUUGGUCCAUGUGUUUUGUUCAUUUUUGGUCCCUUGUUUUAUUCUUUAACAAGGAUAUUUUGUUUUUUCUUAAUUCUAAAAACAAUUGCCUUGUCAUUCCACUAUAUAUAUCAUGACCCCCUUUUCAUAUUUAAUUCUUUUACCUUUAAGUUGUUUAUAGUAAAGGGUUAUUUCUCUCUUAGUUUUAAAAAUGUGUCCAUGAAGUUGAACUACACUAGAACUCCCGAUAGAAGCCUCGAAUUUAGUGGAGAAUUCAGUGAUUGUUUUAAAUUUUUGAUGACAAUUAAAUAAAGAUAAGUCACAUACCACGGGCCUUUUACUAAGCUUGUGCAUGGGGCCUAGGGCUUUCCACGUCGGUCCAUUAGUAAGAAAAAAACAACAAACAAAAACAAAACAAAACAAAUCCUUAAUAAUAAUCAUACUAAUUAGUGGGUGGGUCUUCUAAAGGUUGCUCACUUACGAAAGAGCCAAUCGUCAACAAAAAAUGCAAGAUUGAUCACCCAAAUAAAACCAUUUUGACUUGUUUAGAAAAUAAAAUAUCAUCAUUGGUUUUUAAUGUCGAUUGAUUUGCCAAUGAUGGGCCUUCACCGAUUUCAACUUCACGCUCUCCACGACAAUUACAUGCCACCUAAUUGAAAAGAUGCCCCGAUUUUUUAGCGUUGUACACUUUGAAAAUUUUUAAGAUUUAAUUUCUCUAAUUAUUGUUAAUGCUUUACACAUUUCACGCUUCACCGUCGAGA